CUGCAUUUUCCUGGUCAGCAACACCCUUAUAUGCUUUUUCUUUGCUUUUUUUGUUGGUCAGGUUACAAAUCUUCCAAAUCUUUCUGCUCUGCUUCUUUUUGGUCCUGAGUCUCGCUGCUGUAAAUCUGAGUAAAAGUGGCCUGGUCUCACCAGAAUUCUCAUUACACUCUACGGACAAUAUUCCAGGCUUUUCCAAGUUUGCUACUGUAAAUGACCCAUUCUUUGAUGCCAAUUUUCUAUAUUGGACAUUAGAAAGAGGCACUUGGAAGCGUCCUGAGACUUGA
rnacentral:lncRNA from 1 species